CAAAAACAUAGCUUUUUGGUGAAAAUAAAAAGUAGGGUCUGCCCAGUGAGUAAUUUUAACGGCCGCAAUAUUUGUGCGAAGGUAGCAUAAUCAUUUGUCUUUUAAUUGAUGACUGGAAUGAAUGGCUGGACGGGGAUAAGCUGUCUUAUAUAUAUAUAUUUGAAAUUUACUUUUAAGUAAAAAGGCUUAAAUGGUUUAGAGGGACGAGAAGACCCUAUUGAGUUUAAUAGAAUUUAUUUAAAUUUUUCUUAAAUUUUUAUAUAAUCUAUUUAGUUGGGGAGAUUUGAUAUUAUUAACUAUAUAAGAAUUAAUAGACUUUAAGUUUUUAGGAUCCAUAUUUAAUGAUUACUAAGAUAAAUUACCUUAGGGAUAACAGCGUAAUAUUUUUUUAGAGUUCAAAUCGAUUAAAAUGAUUACGACCUCGAUGUUGGAUUAAAGAACCUAAUUUGGAGAAGAUUUUAAUUUAGGUAGUCUGUUCGACUAUUAAAUCUUUAC
rnacentral:rRNA from 1 species